AGUCCCGCGAGGUAGCCGGGCGCUGCUCCUUUCGCCUGCCAUCUUACCGUGCGCAGCGCCGCCGGAGGGAGAGCGGUCCGGCCCCGGCGCGGCGGCUGACUAUCAAGAAAUGAAGGUUAGGAUGUCAUGUGUUGGACUGCGAAAUCUUCUCCAAGGGCUGAGCUACAAUGUCAAAUACUACUCUAAGCAUAGCUGUCUUCAAACAGUAUGUAUUUCUAGUAAAAUAAACCAAAAAAAAAGCCACAUCCUGGCCCGUUCAGGAAGUACAUUCAUGCACAGGACUCUGCCACCUGGAAGCAUCCUGCCGUGGAGAUGCUUUUCCUGCAAGCAGGAAGGAACAAAAACCCCUUCCAAAAGGAAACAAAAUGCAUCCAUAACAACAUCAGACCUUUUGUACAAGAAUCUUCUGAAAUCAGAGCAGGAAAACUGGAAUGCCAUUUCAACAAGAUACAAAGCUAUGACAAAGAGAAUCAAGGAAAAAUUAGAAGAGUUGCAUAAUAAGUAUACGUUCAAUUUGGGAAGCCCAAGGAUCAGGUUUGGAGAGAAUGUGUACUUUGAAGAGAAUGGCUGUGUAUUUCUUUCAAAAGCAGAUGAUGUAGAUGAAGAAAAUGGUGACAUUUUAUUCAGUACUGAAGAUCUUGGUUUUUCUGAUGCCUUUAUUCAACGUAUUAGAAUUUCACCAAAUCAGAGGUACAUGGCCAUCAGCUUAAAAAGUGAAAAUUCUGAAGAGGCAACCUGCGUUAUUAUGAAACUUGAUCAUUUCCCUGUUGUGGAAAAAGUCAUUCCAAGUGUAUUUAGUUUUGAAUGGGCUGCGAAUGAUGUUCUGUAUUACACAAGUCAGAAGAACCUUAAAUGCCAGAAUGUGUUUAUGACCACUUUCACUAAUCAGAAACAUACUAAGUUAGUUUAUACAGAACAAGACGCAAGAUUCUUUGUGGACAUAUAUUGCACCAGAGAUAGGCGUUUUCUCACUAUCAACAGCAACAGCAAGACCACCUCGGAAGUUUGGCUGGUUGACUGUAGACAUCCUUUUAAGUCACCUGCUCUAGUACAAGCACGAACAAAAGGGGUCAUUUACCACAUUGAGCACAGAAAUGAUGAGUUAUAUAUUCUUACUACAUACGGAGAACCUGCAGAAUAUAAGCUGAUGAAGGCACCGCUAGCUUCCAGUGGCAUGGAGAACUGGCAGUUAGUUUAUGCACUGGAAAAGAAAACCAAGCUAGUAGAUUUGGAGAUGUUCAGCAAUCACUGUAUUAUGUUCCUGAAGAAUGCUGGUCAUCUUUACUUAAAUGUGAUUUCUUUUGUUUCACAUUCAGUUCAGUCAAUAAAGCUACCUACGUGGGCCUGUGAAUUUGAAUUGGAAUCUCAUCCUGAACAUACCACCAGCACUUGCUAUUUUCAGCUCACCUCCCCGGUACACCCCCCUAAGCGUUUUGCAUAUUCAUUUAAAGAAAAUAAUCUCAUUGAACAAGCUGUGCAAGAGGUACCAAUUAUUACGAAUUGUCACACUACACGUUUACUAGCUAAAAGCAAGGAUGAAACUUUGGUGCCAAUUACAGUUUUUCAUAAUAUGAAUUCUAAAGAGCUACACAGGAAACCACUUCUAGUUCAUGUAUAUGGAGCUUAUGGCAUAGAUUUGAACAUGAGCUUUAAAGAAGACAAGCUGAUGUUAAUUGAAGAGGGCUGGAUAUUAGCAUAUUGCCAUGUUAGGGGUGGAGGAGAGCUAGGCCUUAGCUGGCACAAAGAUGGAUGUCGGCAUAAUAAACUCAAAGGGCUCCAUGACCUUAAGGCUUGCAUCAUGCUGCUGCACGAACUAGGAUUUUCUCAGCCAAAAUACACAGCACUAGCAGCUGCCAGUGCUGGAGGAGUUCUUGCAGGAGCCCUGUGCAACACUGCUCCAGAACUUAUCAAAGCCAUGGUUUUACAGGCUCCUUUCGUAGAUGUUCUAAAUACAAUGAUGAAAACUCAUCUCCCACUGACAAUUGAAGAACAGGAAGAAUGGGGAAAUCCAUUAGCAGAUGAAAAAUGUAUGAAGUAUAUCAAAAGCUAUUGUCCAUACCAGAAUAUUAAGCCACAGUUUUUAUCACGGCAUAUGAAAAUGAUCAACGGGUGCCGCUAACAGGAGUUUUACGAUAUGUUCAGAAACUUAGGAAGGCUGUACUAGAUCAUGCCAGCAGAACAAGUGAGAAAGGAAAUUGGAUCCCUAAUAUCAUCUUAGACAUCCAGGCAAGCGGCAGUCAUUGCGAUUCAUCUUGGGAGGCUUCACUGAAUGAGGUUGCAAGACACCUUGCUUUUCUGAACAAAGAACUGGAAGUAUGCCAUCUCUAGCAUUAUAGCAAAUCCUGCAAAUAGCUGAUAAAACACAUUGACUACCUGAAGAACUUUGGGUCAGAUUUUUAUUUAUAUGAAAAAUGAACACCUUCUCCAGAGAUUGCUCCUCUUGGAUUCCUGCUUUGUGGGCAUAAGCAGACAAAUUCAAAGACAAAGUUGGUGUGGCAUUGGCUUAUAAACAUACAAACUAAUAGCUGAAUUUCUCCCCUGCCAGAAUACAGAAGUAAUCACCUGCAUUAAUCAACAUGUUCAGUACAGUUCUGUUCACAUACAUGAGCAGCGCAGCACUGUUACAACGGUGCUGAAGCGCAGCGGUUGGUGUGUAAAGCCCAGCAUGUGAAGUACAUGCACUCUGUGCUCACAGCCUUGCCAGUCUCAGACCUCUAUUUCAAAACCACAUUUUACACAAGGUAGUAAAACUCCCAAGAAGUAUUUGAUUUAGAAGUCUCACUGGGGUCUUCUAAAACUAAUUCCCAUGCAUAGAUGAUGAUGACUAUUGCCCUUCCUAGCUACACAGCAGCUGUAAUGUACUUGUCAUAUGGUGGGAUCAGACAAACUGCAAAAAAGAAAUGAGCUUUCAGGAACAGGAAUCUUAGCAGAACUCUCUCAUCUGAGUAGAUUCAAAAUCUUGCAGUUACCUUAGCUAGCAUGGUAAUCUUAAAAAAAAAAAGAGGUGACAAAGUCCUCUGGAAGACAAGAGGAACACCCCAGAAGGAGAUGCCAGAGCUUCUCCAGAGGAUAAAACACAAAGAAUGGCCGCACCGAAGCAGCCUGAUUCUUAACUGAGCUGACCUCUGAGCAAGGCGCCAAACUGCUGCACAUUAUUUGUUAAGACAGAUGUUUGGGGCAGCUAAUGGUACCACUAGUUAGUGAAAAAUACACUAGGAGGCCAUAAGGUCCUCAAACUGAAAUAGAGUUCCCCAGAUCACCCCUGUGUCCAAAACAGGUUGCACUAAGUCAAAUGCUUAUCCUUCCUUUGUGUCACUGCAGGUGCACUGUAGGUACACUCAGUGCAGAUCAAAACCUGUGAACGUGUGACAUUCAGUAGAGUUGUUUCAGUUGCUUACUCUGAGCUAACGCAUGCCCACCUCACCUACCUACUUGGGUAGAAAAAGGAAUCGGGGAAAGCAAAUGCACUCUAAUUCAGCAGGGGAAGUGGGGGGAAGAGAGGGAGUGUGAGAGAAUCAGUUGGAAAUGCAGUCCUGAGUGUAGAAUUGGACAUAUUUGCUAUAUUUUAUUGUUGUUCUUACUAAUUUUGAGGAUAAUCAGAGCUGUUAGAGUUGAGAGAAGAGGUAAGCCAUCAUGACUUUAUAUAUUAGUCUUGCUUGCUUUUACCUAUUUUAAUAAAUACAGGGCCACCCCUUUAGAGUACGUUUUACAAAUCUACAGCCUUUUUUAAAGUUACUUCAUGAACUGCCACAGGCUUUGGAUUCCACAGGAGCUCUUAAUGACCAGCAACCAUAAGGGCAGCACCCAGGAAGCACCAGUUCAAUUUCCUCACAGAAGCACAUGCACUCUAACAGGACAGUUUUUUGUGACGGGUUUACUUUUCUUCUCCACAGACUCUAAGGGGGCAUCUGUACCAUACUGUCUCUUUUACGUCACCAGUACAGAUGCAAGACCAUCAGAUAUCUGCUUUAAUUCCAGAUAUUUUUUAUUUUUCUGCUUUAAUUUUCAUUUCUUUUCAGGAUGUUUAUUUUGUACACAGACGAAGUUUUAAAAGACAAAAUGAAAUUUUUUUAACACUUCGCUGAAACCAACAUUUUCUAAAUCAACAUAAAAGCUUGGUUAUUCUGCUCCUGCACUUAACAGGUUGCAUAGAGUAAAUUGAAGGCACUGGAAUAACAAGCUUUUUCUGCCACAAAACAAUUUCCUUCAAAAGCUUCCAUAGUGUGAACAGGCUUUGCCGUUUUAUAUUCAAGGAUGAGGCCUUCUCCCAUUUCAGUUUUAAUUUGUUUGGUAUUGACAGCUUUACCAGCAUUGCUAAAAUUAGUACUUAGUCUUAUAGUAGCUUCAGAUGGAAGGUUAGGAACAACAGCUUUCAGGUCUAUUGUUGAUUCCUGCCCAAAAUUGAGAACCAUCAUAAAGACUCUGUGUAACCCAUCCAGUUCCCUCACGUACACAAAAACAUUGCUGUCAUUCCAGAUGUAGCACAUCCAGCCCCGAUGGAUGGGGAGCUCAUCAUUGCGAAGUGAAGUUAGCUCUCUGUACAAAUUCAGGGUUGAGUUGGACCACGUCAUCUGGAUCUGCAACAGCCAGCAUUAACAGGGUCAUGUCUUCGCACUGAAUGUAGGAAAUGCUACUUACCUCUCACACCCACCCAGCCUGCUGAGAGCACACCUAUUAGAAUUCCGUUUUGACAAUUAUCUCUCUUCGUAUUUGUCUGCAGAUCCCACUGAAAAACUGCUUUUUCACAUGCCUGCCCUUGGCAUUUCUGGCGUGGCAGAGACAGAGGUUAUGAGGCAUGACAGAAUUUCCCCGGCUCUAACACCAUUUCUUCCUCCCAGAGUGUCCUAGUACCGUUUAUACAGGAGAAAGCCACAGCCACUCAAAGCUUGCUACUGAGCUUUUUUCAUUGAGUCUUAUCUACUGAAGCCACAGGUUGGUUUCAUGUUUUAUAUAUUUCCUGACUUACAUUUAUUUUUUUGUCUUCAAUCCUGGUCAGCGCUGUAGAGCAGCAAAAUCUGUUCAAUUCACUGCUCUGCUUAUGUUAAAAGAUGGUCUAUGUUAAGUUCUUGUUACAAGGCCAGUAUUUUCCAUGGUAAUAGAAAUUAAAAACAAACAAACAAACAAACAACCCAAAAAAAACCCCCAACCCAAAAAAGAUUCCAAUUUGAUACUAAAAUGGUUAAAAGAGUGUUAAAGAGGCAAAACGCCAGAUCUGCAUCAUAAUUGCAGUUGCUCCACUUAAUGUAAAUGACAUAGGCUCCUUGCUCCUGCAAGGAUUUCCUUUUCUAGUAAAAUUUGUGAGGAUUCAGUGCUUUUUCUUCCCUUGAGUUUAUUCUUAACUGUCAAUUCCUACUAAGUAAAAGGAGUGGGAGCAAAAUAGAUACAUUAAGAUAUUUUUAGAGCAUCAGUUUGUCAGGCAGGCAGAUACCUACUUCAACAUUGACACUUUCGUAGUCAGGGUUAACAGGUAACCAGCUACUGUUGCCCUCAGUAAAACCAGCAUUAGGUUUGCCAUCCCACUGCAUGGGGGAUUUCUCUGGAAAGGUCACCUAGAAAAUAAAGUGGUGAUUAGUAUAUUUACCGCUUGAACAGCAUGUUCUAACAUCUUCCAAACGAUCACCAUCUCAGUAUUGCUUCCUUUAGUUUAAGUUAAAAUUUAAUAAGGAGGAUGUAAUCCUGCUCCAAAUCUAAAGAGUAAAUAAGAACCAAACCUGUUGCCGAAAUGGAGAAUGGAUGGUCUCAUGGAUACCACAGCGAUGGGUAAAAUGUGGAAUUCCCAAAUGACUGUACUAGGGUUGUCUCCCCUUGCAACAGAUGGUUGGAUAAGUUUGCUAAUGACAGCUAGGAUGUUCUGAUGACUAUCUAGCCAUGCAGUGAGCAAACAUACAGUAAUGCAUCCUAAGAAGAGAUAAUGUUACAGUAACAAUAAACUCAGAAAUGCUCUUCAGCAUCUGUUCUUUUGUAACUAUCACACUUUUCACCUUAGAAUUCUUCAGGCUUACAUUUGCAAGGGGUACAAUUUGGACAGGAUUGUUUGCAUUAGAAAGAUAAAAUUAUUUCCAAGUGCAAAAACUUAACUGAAAACCAGCUUUUAGCUGAUUAAAAAGUGUCACCGUAAAAAGGCUGAAAUUCUCAUUUCGAAGAAUUCAGAAAAAUUCUGAAAAAGCUUCCUCAUUGUUAUUGAGGAGCUGCCAAAAGAUGACACUUAAAUUUAAUGAUAUAAGAGGGCAUAAAAUAUUUUGCACAUACUUUGAGUGUUUGUUUUCCAUGAAAACUGUUUUUCAUACAAAGGGCACUUUUCAAUACAAUCUGUCAGAACAGCAGCUCAACAAAAGAAAUUGUCACUUUGCUUUGUGACAUUAUAAAUAACGGGUUUCUCCUUUUAGCGUGUUCUGAAAAGCAGGGAAAAGAAUCCGAAGUUUUGAGCACUGGUAACACUUCCUUUCAUCUUUACCUCUUUUAGCUUCUGCUGAAGUAUUUCAAAUGCUGUGGCUAGAAACUAUACCCUGAGCAAAUACUCUGUC